rnacentral:sRNA from 1 species
GCGCCUGCGAAGGACGCAGCAUUGUCCAUAACUCCGGGUUUGCAGGCGACCCGACAAUGUACCCGUCCCGUGAUCGGCAAUUUUGCCGAUUCAAAAUCCUUC